UGUAACUAGGUAGCCUGCUUCCGUCCAGAACUGAACAGACGGGCGAUUCGGGCCUUAGUAGGGGCUAAUGAAUAAAAUUCGAGCGCAACGCAUCGAAUGGUCAUGACAGUUUUUUCUAGCCCGAGUGGCUUCGGUUUCCGGUCGAACGCAGUCUGAACGACGUCUUUGUUACCGGUGCUGUUGCCUAGAGUUUCUGCGCUCUUUGGGACGCCGUCAAAAGACUGCGGUCCUGCGAUUAAAUAACUACACCGUAAGAACGCAACACGAUAUGGGAAGAAAAACAAGACGAGUUUGAGAGAGUUUAAGCGGCGUGGGACCGCAAGACGCUCUCGUUAACUCUUACUGGCUGGCGACUUCAGAAGCGCAUCCUUGAAACACGAUCUGCGACGAGCAUCCGAUUAUGGAGAAAAGAUGCGGCGUUGAGGGCAGUCAACUAGAAAACCCUGUACAAUAGUGAAGAACAGAAAGAGACUGCUUAAGUGCAAUGUACCGAUCGGCAGCAAGCCUAAACAUAUGAAAGCAAGGCAUGCAGCAAUACAGACUGAUAAAGGAUAGGUCUGCUCGGACUAAGUGGGGUAAUUGUGCUGGAGCAACUAGUCCAUGGUAAACGUGGCACCAAGUGUACAUUUCAUCUGUCUUAGAGACACGUUGUGAUCCAGGUUCAAACCCGGGAAAAGAAGACACGACUUCGUUUCAUGCUGGAAUCCAACUGUCUGGUGAAAUGCCCAACAGCGAUAUCGGAGACUGGUUACAGAUGUGAUCAUCAUCUUCAUGAAGACAAUCUAAAUACUUCAAAACGAGUGUGCAAGAAUACUUUAUAGUAUAUAUAACCUGGGAGGGA